AGUUUAUUAGAUGCUUUUAAAACCCUUCUUUCCAGUAUCAUCUACCUAACAUUUCUCUCUGCUUUGAUGAGCAAGUUGUGAUCCAAUGGCCAUUUUCAAUUCAUUUUGAGCUCAUAGUAAGAUCUAUAUAAGAAAAAUUGAAAAAUCCAAUGUUUCCUUUUUAUAGUUAAAUGCAACGUUUUAUAUACCAACCAAAGAUGCUCCAUUAAGUGUAGAGAAGCUGAAGUGUGCUCAGAGGGUUCUGCUCUAGAAACAUAUUUUGAGAAAAAUGUAUUUUCUAUGCAUUUGAGAUUCGCUAAAUUCACUAAUUCACUAAAAUAUAUCUAAAUAGAGUAGGAAUUGAGUAGACUUUUUUACUAAGUACAUGUAGCAAUCUGGUUCUAUUUAAAAUGCUAAUAAAUGCAUCUGAUCUUCUAAUGAAACUAGUGGUCCCUGCAUAAUUAAUUAGCAUUAAAUACAGAUGGGGACGGGAAAGCCAUACUCACAGUCGUUUUCAUUUAGAACAGUUAAUAAAAUAUUACAAUAGAGUUCUGAAGAGUCACACAUGAAUAGCUCAUUUCUGCAAAAACAGUAUUUUGCAGGUAAAAAAUUAGUUGAAAUUACCUCGAAUAGUUGUUACAUACAGCUUGUAGCCACAAGAUGGCAUUCCUAACAGAAGUUUGCUAGACAUGAUAAUUUCUUGCAGUUUUUGGAGGGCUCUAAAUGAAAGGCUAUCAUAAGCAUUUGUAAUGUUAUAUGAGCUUUUAAUAUUUUCAUUUUUAUAAAAUGUAAUUAACAGAAAUUUAAGAAACAUUAAUGAUAAUUAUCUUAAUACUCAUUGGUAUGUGUCAUACCCAGAAAUAUGUGAUGGUUUCAGGUUAGAGAAACACCACAUUAAUUCAUGGCAUUAUAUGCUGCUGGAGACUUUUCAACUGUAGAUCUUGAAUCAAUGUUGCUUUAAUAUAACAAUCUAAAAUAACUUCCCCUCAAUUAUGCAAUAUCUAAAUAAAGAGCACAAAUAACACCAUGGUCUUCUGCAAAAAGCAAGUGUUUGGGGUUGUGAAUAUGAUGCAGCAUAUGGAGCUUGUAGUGAGUUUUGGGACAAAGAAGAGCAGAUAACAGUAUUUGCAGAGAAAAAUAAACCAGUAUGGAUAAUAUGUCUUGCUGUGCAGGGGAGGAUUUUUCAUAGCUUUCUGUUAAAAUGACCAAGUGAUGUAUUUUCAAACGCCUGUCAUCCAGGUUGAUAACAGAGGCUGCAGGCAGUCCUGCUUUCUUCCUGCCUUUAUAUUUUUUCAGUUUCUUGUGAUCUUUGCGUGCUAAAAUCAAAUACCUUGUUAUUCUCUUUCCUUAAAAACAAGCAUGAAGGGAGCAUAGUACAACCUACUAAACCAAUACAAGGGUGCUAGACUUUAUAUAACACAGACAUGCAUAUUAUACUUCUUUUUUCCCCCAUGGUUACAGUCCUGAUCUUACUUUGCUUAUUUUUGCUGACUCUAUCAGAUCAGACCUGAGUAAUCAUAUUCCAUUCUAGCUAGUGCCCUAGUUGCAUUUCGGUUUGAAAAAAAAAGACAUUACCUUAGGUUUGUGCAUAAACUGGCAUCCAGUGUAAGUUGUGGAUUUUUUUUCAAGUCUAUCUCAAGUUAACAGAAAUGAUUAUGAUAGGCUAUUUUUUAAAUUAUUGUUUUGUGGUAGGAAAACUUCCAUGGCAUCUUUUCUAAUAUAUGUGCACAUUUCCUGCUAAUCUUUCUGCUGCAUGUGCUGCCCACCACUGAUGCCUCAUCCCUCUGGUUUUGGGUCCUGUCCUUUAACGCAGCUGAAAGGACAGAGCGGUGGCUGCAUCCGCCACUGACACUAAUGACAGCCUUUGCGGAGUCAGUGGGUACUACACUGAGAUUAAGCAGAUGUUAUUUUUCCUUACAUGCUGUUAUACCUUUAUUGUGGCUGUGCAAAACAGAGCUUGUCAGUCAAAAAGCUUUCAGAACGAUCAGGUUGGUAGAACCUACGUGCUGGUUGAACUUGGUGGUACAAGGACUGCAGAACCAAACCUUCUGAGUUAAUAGUAUCUCAUGUUGACUACCAGCAAAAUUUGAGGGUCUGAACAUCUCCCACUUGCUGCCAAUUUUAAAGAAGUGUGGUGAAGUGAAAAUGAGUAUUUCAAAGGUAUGGAAAUGUCCGUACAAAAAAGUUAUACAUAAUGAUUAUGAAAUGUUGUUGAGGAAGUAAAAGAUUUGUUGUUGUUACCUUUGAAGUUGUUACACACUGAAUUUUCUUUGUAGUAAUUAGGUGUAGCAUUAGGUGAUAUAUAGGGACAGGAUUCCACUGAGAACAGCAAGAAGCCAGUCCCAGGGAGGAGGUUUAAAAACAGAAAAACAAAUGUACCGAGGAAAGAAACCUCCUCUGCUCUCAAGGGCUACUGGCUGGCAUGUGGAGUGGGCUUAUCCUGAAGGAUAGUCUGUAAGUAGAAACAUACACAGCUGAACAAGUGAGGUGGGUUAUUCAGGGCAACGGCAGGGCUCGGAGUCCCACAAAACGCCAUAAUGAGUAGGGUGCGGUGGACACCAGCAAUGGAAAUCAGUGGUCUCAACCAUUGCUGGUGUUGCUCCUGGGACAUCCUAUGGUGUUGAAUCAGGUGGAUGUGUACUCCAGCUCCCAGAGAUGGCGGAAAUAAAUGACACUGAACUCUUCCUUUUGCAUGAGGGUCUCUCAGUUACGUGGCAGCCACUCUAAAUUCAUAUAGCCAAGCCUUUGCAGGUAACACUGUCAGAAAAAAUGGCUAUUACUGACUGCUGAAAAAUAAUAGUACUGAUACUUCAUGAUGGUUCUGCAAAUUGCUUUGCUAGUACAAAGCACAUCAGGGGCUAAUUUGAUGCAGUUCAUUGUUUGCAAGAGGUGGAUUAUAAAUGUUCGGAAUUGCAUCUUAUGUAACUGCUGCUGGAUAAGUGUUACUAUCAGUGUGAGCUGGGAAAGGAAAACGUGGUACUGAGAACUGUAACCACAAGUAUUAUCACUUCCCAUAUGUAACAAACUUAUGCCUAGGGCAAGCAAGCACAAUUACCAAGAGAAGCUGUGUUUGUUCAUGCAAGUGAUUUUAAUGUUCUAAAUGAUUUAUCACUCUGGAUUACGUUUUUCGAUGAAAGAUUUUUCUGGAAUAAUUGUACUCCAAAGGAAAUGCGUUGUUUACUUUCAAUAGAUGAUUAGGUUUACCUAUUGAAAAGAAGUUAGAUUUAUAAAGCACUUCUGGGAGGUUUGUAAAUAGGUGGGAUACAAAGGUUCGUUAUGCAACAUGGAGAUUUUCAUCCCCAAGUUAGUAACAGAAUCUCUUUCACUCUCUCCUUUUCACUUCCUUGGUCUUGUACAUCUAGAAAUACACAUUAGAAAAUUAUUAGAUACUUAUAUAUUUAAUAUACUUCUAAAUUGUAUAAUUUCACUUCAUCUGUGAUCAAAACAAUAAGCUGAAUUCUCUGAAUUUAUAUUAGAUGCUGAUGAUUACUGAAAACAGAACAGUCCUCACUUAUUUUACAAAGAGCAAAAAGAUGUUACCUUUUCAAAGUGUUAAAGUUAGCUUUUAAGUCUGGUUUCCAGUAAGUGUGCAGCACCUGGAUUGCCACAUCUCUAUUCCUUGUGCUCUUGGGUCACUGAUGGUAAAGCUCUGACUUUCUUAUUCAUUCAUAUUGUUGUGAAAAGAGAGAGUUCUAAGUAUACGUCCUCUCCUUCUCAAAGCCUCCUGAAUAUAGAACAGGCACCAUUAUUCACUGUGUUACUUUUGCCUGACACUGGAACUACUUUACUAAAGAGAAAUCAAACCUAAUACACAGUCAAUCCCUUUUCAAAUGCAGAGUGGUGAAGCUGAGCUGGAAAGUCUCAAGUGCAAAGUGAACUUUCCAAUGCUGUACAGAGCUGGUAUAAAAGCUACAUGAAAACUACUUCACAAACUACUAAGAUCUCUGUAGUGCCCAGUAUUACAAAUUGUUACUCAUUUCCGCAAGGCACAGCUGACAGCUGAUGGGGGGAAUGAAGAAAUAUAAACAACAUUUCUUUUUUAAUCUACCCAAAAUAAAAUUUGCCUUCUGUGAGCACACAGCUUGUUGUGCGAAGCCUACGGGCUGGAGAGCGGGUCUCCUACCUCCCCCGGUGGUGGCUGUUUGGGCAGUUCGGGGGCAGCAGAAGCAUCAUCUUUAGUGAUGAGUUUUUGUUCCUUGUAUGAAUUGCGUGAUCUGCUUCAUAAAUCAAAUUACAUAUUAAUGGAAAAGCUUAAAAGUAGUUGUACAGCAGAGAAGCUGAUGAGUUAUUGUGCCUUAUGGCUACUGUGGCUAUGUGGGCAAGAACCAAAGAGACAAAAAUUGGUCUCUUUAACCUCCAAUGGCCCUUAACUUUGCCCCAAUGAGUUUCCUGCCACUUUAAGAUGUUUUUUGAUCAACUUAUGAAAGCAAUUUUAUUUUGUGGUUGUCUCCAGUUUCCCAGAAACGGUUGUGCAGUCUUGUGUUCCUAAAUUCUCUUCUGUAUGCGCUAUGUUUCCUUUGCCUUUCCUUUUUUUCUUUUCUUUUUGUACAGCUGCAAUAGAUGUUGUUAGCUAUAAUGUGGUUUGUAGAUCUGUUUUUACAGGGUAGACAGAAAAAAGUGUCACAUAACAGUAACAUCUGGAGUGUCAUUGAGACCACCUUGGUAGUGUUUUUUGUUUGCAAAGCAGAUAUCUGUGUAAUGCACUCCAAUUCUUCACCAUCACCCAUUGUAAUAAGUCACUUAAGCAUAACUAUUUUUUAAUUUUCUAAUUCUUUUCACAGGAGAAUUUAAAAUCAGUUUUUGUAGAGUAAAUUUAACUCUAUGUUACAACUCAAAAUACUAGACUUGUAAAAUUAAAAAAAUAAUAAUCUUGUAAUAAACAUUUUGUAGUUAAUAUAAUUAAGUUCCUUUCAGGCUGAUGCUUGGACUGCAAAUCAAGAGUUUUAUUUCCCUCUGGAACCAGGUAGCCUUUGAUAUUGAUACUUAAGUCCUGUGAAGUGUGUUGUCAUUAACUUCUGACGGCUGCCAGGCAGCAGGAUUUUACAAACUGCCACACAUUCUGGACAGAAGGAAAAGUGCAUGUACACAACCAUUUUCAGUGGAGAGGAAAACCAGAAGACAUUAUUUUGUUAUUAUAACUUCACCUAAGUGGAGAAGAGGUGUAUACGCGUGAGUAUGCUGAUAUUUGAUAAAGCUGAUACCUUUCUCAGAAAGCUUGAAAAUGGUGAUUUUUGCAACAUUUCUUUUUGUUCAAAUUGAUUAGGGGACGUUGGGGUUUCUUUUUCCCUGCCUCCCUCCUCCCCAAAUUUGUAAACGAAUGACACAAAAAUGAAGAGCUAUUUUUAAAAUCGAACUUCAAUAUGUAUAAAGUAAAAGAGGAGGAAAAAUGUCAGCAAAAGUCAGACCCAAUGAAUGAUCAGAAGCUGGACACAAUUCUGCUGAGUGCCUGUGAAUUAAUGCCCAAGACUAAAAUUCUCACCCCUUAAACAAUUCCUUUAAUUGUGGCCAUAAGUAAAACAGGCUACUUCUAGCCUUACUAUACAAUCUUACUAUAGAAGUGGACCUGUGGUCUUCUUGAGAGAUUUCUGUAAAUUCCUGCUGCAGUGAGGCUAGAUACCAGGGAAACAGAUUUUUGGGGGCAGGAGUGAGGUGAGGGGUGGUGGUUCUACUUUUUAACUGGCAAUAAUUCUGAGGUAAAGUAUUGAAUUUUUCAGACCUCAAAAAUGUGUUUAACAUGAGAUGAGCAUUUAUACUUUAGCAGACUGUUUAGCUGAAGCUGUAUGACUUCUUCCUGAUUAUGAAGGUUCCCAGGGUAGGCUCAGGAGCACCGCUGGUCCCUGGCCCAGCGCUCUGCCCGCCCGCCCGUGACCCUGGGCUGGUUUUCUGCAGCACCAUUGCCUGAUCUCAGUUUGCUGUCGCUGAGCUGUGAGAGUGUGUAAACUGAGACUGUGCAAGGUAAGUAAAGACAGGCAGAAGUGAAAGUGCUGAGCUGGUAAGUGUCCUGGGGACUGGGGACAGUCCCUGACAUGGAAUCUAUAAAACCUGAGGGAGAAAGCAGAGACUUAGAAGAUGGCACCUCUGCAACUGUGAGGACAUGUACUGAUUUACUGUGGCGUUUUAGCAUGACUGAAAUACUUUUCUUACGAAAUAUAAAGUCUGCAACACUAAUAAAAAGCAACAGAAACAACCUCAUAGGCAUUUUUCUUCUUUCCUCCUUUUCGUUUUCCACAUUUUUUCUGCACUGUUCCAUAUUUGCUCUUGUCUGCUCCCUCCUGACCUGAGUGAUGCUUCUCCAAUCAGUCUCUUGUCAAAAGUGCCUCUUGGUGCCCUUCACCACUUUGCUCUCAUUUCACUCAGCGAAAUGGCUUGAAUCAUAUAACCCCCGAGGCACACUUGGCAUGUGGUACUGUGCUCUCACUGCUUGUGACCCCAGUGUCCACAUCAGCAUGGCGUGGUGGCCCUGGAGCACUGUGGUGACCAGCCAGCCCUCCAGCCACCUGUGUGGGCACCCAGCUCGGCAUCGGGGCUCAAGGCGCAAGAACAGCAUUCCCAGCCCUGAUGUGGGUAUCCAGGGCUGGGGUAGGGACUAAGGGCAAAAGAGACUCUGCACUAUUGCUUACACAGGCACACAGAUGAAAUUAGCUUGGUUUUCCGAUCACAAGGGUCACCUGGACUGCUGGGCCCUCACGUAGGUUACCCCUUGCUGCCACAGCCGAGGCCAGCAGCUGUCUCCAGGAGCACACCACUUUUCACGUAUGGCACAAGUAGACUCUGAGCUGCCUUUGGAUCCCUCUGAUUAAAGAAAUUAUAUAAUUUUGGGACUGUCUAGUAGACCUUGUAGGCUUACUGUUUGGCUGUACAAUGCUUAUAAAGAGAUGUCAUUUGGAUGCAGCAAAACCUAAUUGAACUUGUGUUCAUCUUCACUUGGUUCAGACGUGGAAGAAACGCAUGUUCUCUGCAGGUCCUCAGACCUUGGCGGAGCCCCUGUCUCUCCUUGUUUCUGCACAUCUUUCAUAACAGGCUUAUUCCUGCCAGCACCAUAUUUCUUGUUCCCAGUCUCUUUGUCUCAUUUCCCAAGCCAAGCGAUCAAGCAAGUGGAAGGGCCUUGGACUAAAAGGAACUACCUGGAUAAUUUAAGCUGGACUGCAAGUAUACAUUGGUUCCACCCAUUUUCAUUUUGCCUUUGUUUGUUUGUUUGUUUUGUUUCUGUUCGGUUGGCAAUUUAGCUGCCCCUGGCAUGUCAGUUCUGAGGACCAGGUCUGAAAUUGAAUUUGUCUCUCGUUUUGCUUAGACUGUCUACUUUGGCAUAUAGUGAAAGUUACAUUUGAUUCACUAGUUUCAAACAAACGAAUUGGUACAUUUUAAUCAUAGCACAUAAAGACAUUGUGUGUAUUUCAGCUGUAACUUCAAAGAUAUGGACAAUGCUUGUACUUGCCAACUGAUAUUCAAAGAAAAACCUUUAAGGUUGGAAAAUAGGAGCAUUCAGGGAAAUUAGAGAUAUGAAUUUGUACUUGAAGUGGUUAAGAAAUUCCUUCAGUAUAUUCUUAACUAAAGAAGGGAAUAAACAACUGACGGAAAAUUAACCCAGAGCCAGGGGUAGAAAAUGGGAAAGUGAUUGUAGUGUUAGGAAGAAAGGCCAUAACUCAUUAAUGUAGUGGAAUUGUUUGAAGAUAUUAGUGCUAUAAGAGAAGUGCAAUAGCUUUUUAGAGCAUUUGGCAACAUUUCAGAUCAGAGUACAAUGUCUGUGAUGCAGAGUAAUGGAAUAAGUGGAAAGUUGGCUCAUUGGGUGGAUAAUUGGGCAAAAAGCAGGAAACAAAAGGUAGCUGUAAAAAGGAGCUGGUUUUAUCUGGGAAGAAAUUAGGCAGCCAUGUUAGAAGGCUGUUUAUUACAGAGAAAGACAUGACCUCGAUUUGGCCUAUAAACUUUGUUUUUAGAUGACUUUUCCUCUGCAACCAUACAAUGAAAACCCCAUAAAUGUUAACUGCAAAGUAGCAGUGAUAUUGGUGAGUUGCCUCCAAAGCUACAAAGUUUGAAAUACAUUUAGGUAGUAGACAGGAACAUAUAUCCUGUGAGCUAACCUGCAGACUUGUGGAGCUUCCUUCAGAAGAAAGAGAUGGAGGCGCUCAGGAGACAGGCUUCCUGGUCGCACCGUCAGCUCUAGCUCCGCAGCCACUGCUGCUGCCCCGGAUCUUCUGAGCAAAACAGCCUGUGUGGUGUAAGGUGUAGCCAGAAAUGCUGUUGCACAGUGUAAAAUAAUAAUUUAUUUUGGGCAUUUGCUAAACAGGCAAGGGGGACGUUUUGGAGAGAGACUCACAGAAGUCUAGGAACUAGAAACUAAAUUAUUCUCUUCUGCAGCCCACUCUCUUAUACCCCACUGUCCUUAGUUGCCUCUUCUGAACUUGGAUUCCAUACAUUUCCAGCUGUGUCUGGGCUUGGAGAGCAUAUUAUGUAGCACGAGGGAGAGCAGGUGGACCUGGGCAGCCCUCUUUGCAUUCAGCCAAGUCCAAGAGAUUGGCUUUUGGAGGAGGGGCAGAGAUCCUGGGGGCAGAUAUGUGAUUCGUCAUCAAUAUUUUCAGCUGACUGGGAGGAACUGCUACACCUGCUGCUCUGCUUCAGAUGGGCUUUGAAAUACAGGCAGGCUGAAGGACAUAUGAGUUUUUUCUUUCAUGAUAGCAAAAAUAAGCACUUUGUUCUGGUAUCUGUAAAGUUAAAGCAGUUUCCUACCAGUAAUGGUAAUUCAAGAGCGGUUUCUGCCUUGUGAUUGAUACAUAAAUGAGAAGAGUAUUUUUGGAAAUGCUGGUUGCUUUUAUUAUUAAAAAAAGAAAAUUACUGCUAAUUUUCAGUUUGCCAAGUCUUUGAAUACAUAAUUUCCAACAGAAACACUUCAAGGUAUCAGACAGAGGGGAAAUAACUCAUUGCUGUGAGACAAAAUCAGCAGUCCCUACUACACAGUAACUACCAGAAACCUGCAUCUUGCUCUUGGAAGGAGUCGAAGUGCCUUUAUGCCACAAGAAGUCUGAACAAUGUUCAGCUGGGAACCAGGACCCAGGGUAAUGAUGUAAAGCAAAUGCCCUUUGCUUUAUACAGCCUGUCCAAGGGGAAUAAGAGUGUGUAAGAGGGCUGGCAAGAUGCCUCAAACCAAACUGCUGGUAUGGGUGCCCUGAUGGGAAGACCUGAGAAAGAGUAGCCUGGAGGCUGUUGGAAGAUGCAGCUGUGAAUUCACUUUCCAUGUUUGCCAGGCACUUUUAGAGAAAACCGGGACGGUUCACUCCUGAUUCACCAAGGUGUUUGCCAAUCUGCAGGUGCCAAGGCUGACACUGAGGCCACGCGCCGCCUGUAGUGGCUGUUGCAGCAGCAGAACUGAUGGGAGGCAGGAGCUGGGCACCCUCCCUGCCCUGCUGUGGGGAGCAGGCGGGGGUCACAGCCAGGGGUGCGGGGCUGGGUCCUGCUGCCCAGCACGGCCAGUGCCGUUUCCCCAUCCAACCUGCCCUCCCCUCGCUGUGGUAUCGCAGUCACCCUGUGCCACUGUCCUUCCCUGCGGGGAGUGAUUUUACCUGCACUGGGCAGCCCUUGAGCUAAUUCAGGUAUUUAGGGAAAGCAAUAACAGAUAUCUUAACUGUUAAUAGGUAAGGUAAUACUUUAUUUUGGUGUAAAUAUUUGGAAUAGCAUUUCCAAAUGGCAUUUAAAAAUGGAUUGCAAGAACCUGAACUUCCCUUGUAAAUAAUAAAAAUAAUAAGUUAUCAGUUGGAACUACAAUCUGUAGCUUCAUUGAAGCUCCUUUAUUUAAGCAGCUUAUGAAAUGUUAUUUUCCCGUCCAUCACAUGGGCAUCUGGGUGACUCUGUGUAACAUCAGCAUCUACAUCUUUAUAAUGAGAGUAAUACUACAUGUCUUUGGAGAAGACCCUGGAAUUUCAGAAUAAAGGGUUGAUUUAAGUGCUGUAUUUUACCUUACGUGGUACUUUUGUAGCCUGAUUCAUUUAAUGGGAAUCAUAAAACUACCAUGGAUUCAGUGGGAGCAAGACUGCUUAUUGCAAAAUAAGAUUGGAAAUUAAUUACUUGUUAGCUUUAAAAUAAUAAUCUAUUAUAUUCCCUGUUAACCCUUUCAUUAUUGUUUUAUACAGGCUAAAAGCCAGAUACCCCAACAAGUGACUUGGUAUAAAUUUGAACAUGAACAGAACAUCAUUCUUUCCAAAGCAAUUAAAAAUCUCAUUCACUCUGUCCAUCUCCCUCAUGCUUGCCAUGUGUAAUGAAGCUAAAAGACAACAAGGAACAUGGUCACUGGAGAUACUUGUCAAAUCUGUGACUGAAGCUACUGAAGUUCCCUAUUAAUAUGACAUGUGAAAACUUGGGCAAAGAAAUGCUACAGUUCCAAGGUCAAACAUUCAGCUGCUAGGAAAUAACCAAGUCAUAACUUCUCAUGCAAACUCAGCUCAGCUUCCCCAUAUAUAUUAAUAUAUAUCCUUUAUAAAACAGUAUUUAAUUACAUUGUCACAGAUAAUUUCCUCCUAAGAUUUCCUCCUAAUAUAUACCCUGAGUGUACCUGUAUUUAUGUAGCCCUAUAAGCUGGGUCUUCACUUCUCAGAGAGAGUAUUGUGUCAGAACCCAACAGAGAGACAUUUGAUCCAAAUUCUUUGAUUUCCUAAAGUUUUAAAGGCGAAAUCAACCUGGCAUGACAGCCUGGGUGAGGAUAUUAACAGCUGUGGGGGGGCUAAAGAAGAGAGCGUGGAGCCACAUGUCUGUUUCCCCCAUAUGCUUUGCCCUUAUUUUUCACCAGAAAUACAGUGACCAAAGGGAUGGCCCAUUGUCUUUCCAGUGACACUGCCCCACUGCUUGCUGGUUAACUGAAAGGCCCUUGCCUGGUUGGACAAACUGGGGGUUGAGGACCUUAUUUUGCUCAAAAGACAGGAAAAAUGCGGCAUGGUUUUAAAUCCUGUCACAGAGGAAGGAUAGAGAGCAGGUGGCCAAACAUGCUCAGGAGGGUUUAGGACUUGGGCCGUGGCAGGUGUGAGGAAACACUUUGCAAAUCGCUGGGAACGAGAGUGGCUGAGCAGCUCUGUGAGUCUCCUCCUUUCGGCAGCAGCUGACGAGUCUGCGCUGGGAAUAGGCCCAGGGUGAAAAGCAAAGCCCUGCACUGGCUGUUACCAAGCAAUUACUCACGUCUGCCUCUGGGACAGCAGCUACUUUCUUAUUUGAGAAACACAGGAGAUGACUUUCCAUUAAACAGUUGGUCUUGUUUGCAGGAAAACGCACAAAUAAAUAAUAGCUACUGAGGCAAAAUUGUACCUUUUUGAUUUUUAAGUGAAAAACCUGAGGGAAGCCACUGAUGUAGAAAACACUGAAGAUUUUUGGCUCUACCUAGGAAAAGAGGAAAAAACCCAACAGUUUAAAACCUUUUCUGUAAAAUAUUUACCUUAUGUUUUCAAAAAUAAUUAAAAACUUGCCAAAGAGGUAAAAAAAUGUAACUAGUUACAUGUUUGAGGGGGAACAGAGAGUUUGCACAUCUUUCCUUUCUAACAUUUAAUUGCUUUCAAAUGUUCCAGUUCCUGAUUAUGUCAAAGGAAAAGUCUGAAAGGAGAGAUGUGUCUGUCCGAUGCUCAGGUUACACUCAAGGCGGCCCUGGCCGUGUGUGCUCAGGGUUGCUGAAGACCCAUAUUUGAAGCCACAUCAACAGCAGUGAGGUUGCACAUUCAGCAUCACACAGAGCCAUCUGCAGCUUAACUGGUAUUUCUUUAUCUGGGCACGAGCACCGUAUGUGCCUAGGUUGCCGUUAUAUGCUCAAUUUGGGGGUUUCUUGCAGGACACUGAUUGAUAAAAAGCUGGUUAGAAAUAAUGGACAGGAUCAAAUGGAAAUGAAGGGCACAGCGGUGAGAGGAUCCGUCCUUUUAACGAGCCGUGGCAGCAGCUUGGCUGGGAAAUUGCUCUCACAAGGGGGCCAAGCCCACAAUAGCAUGUGUGGCAGCACAGUCGCUUGAAAAAAUAAAAAUGCCGCUUUCCUGGGGGGUUGCACAGCACAAUGUGUUGCAGAGCUGGGGAAAUAAUGCGCAUGUUGCUCUUUCAGCCUUACGAUGGUAUUAGUAGCCUUUUUAAUGAGUUUUGCUGGCUUAACCUAUCACACUUUUUAACCUAAAGUAGGAUCAAAGCUGCAAAGGCACCAUUGCAGCUUGUGUUUUGCUCAGGAGAGCAAAGACUUUGGUGCUGACACCACCCAGGGUGGGAGCGCUCCUGCCGCACACGGGCCUGGGGACAGAGCCCCGGUGCGUCUGUCAUCAAGAGAUCAGCUGGGCUCGGGGCACACUCUUUUCAUCCCCGGUUUUCCGGGCAGAAAGGCAUCCUCAGCAGCCAUCUGCCAACCCCCAGGCCCGCCGGGCUGCAAUGGCUCCUGGGGGAAGCAUCUGGCUCAUUUACCCUGGGCUAAUAACAUAGUGCAGAUAUUUUGCAGAAGGCAGCUGAGCUUUUUGGUGCCCCCUGAUGCCUGAAGAACAUUUUGUUCCUUUUGCCUUUACUGUACAUGCUGGUUCCUCCGUGGUGUUUCUGAGGGCAGAACCUGUCAUCCCACAAGAUAUUGCUUCCUUUGUACAUCUGCCUCAUCUGAGAGAAUUGGGAUGUUGGUCCUUCCGAAGACAUUGGAAAAUGGUCUUUUAAAGGAGAACUAUUGGAUGAAUCAGUUACUGUUGACCUGCUAUAGGUCUUUGGAUUUAUUCCUUAAAAUCAGUUAACAUUCUUGUGCUUUUUGAUUUAUUGUGCUUUUAUUGUGCUUUUGUUGAUUUAUUCAUUUUAGUUUAGUUUAGUUUUUAUUCUUCAGCUUGCUCUUUUUGCUUCAACAUAGCUCUUAUGCACACUAUUAGUAUAUCAGGAUCAAAGAAAGAAACUCACUCUAUUGCUGUCUCUUUUCAUCCUCCCUUGAGGAUGCUGCUACUUAGCCUCUAAUCUGGAGGGCACUGUCAUUGGGAACCAUGCCAAGUCCUUUAUUCAUAGCAUGUAUGAGACUGAAAUUGCUCAUUAAAAUUCUUUCCCACCUUAGUGCACAGUGUUUGCUGUGGGCUCCACUGUUAUUUGACUGUCUGUCAAUACCGUCUGGCUGCUCAGCAUCUCCGGCCUGGGAGGGCCUCAUUGUCCCUCUCUGACCCUGCCUUGGGCUACUUGCAGGGUUGUAUUCGGAUGCCUUCCAAGUUUCAGCAUCUGCCCUUUAUGGAUUUAUUGGCUUCACCAGUUUUAUCUAAUAUUUUUUUUUUUUUUUUUUUAAUCAGCUCAUUUAUUUUAGUUACAUUUAGUUAAUUGAGACUAAUGUUUUGUUGAAAAAUCUCUCUCUCAGUCCCCAAGCUGAGCUUUUGAAGUGAAUAGAUCUGGGUAAAAAAUUGCAAAUGAGCUAUUAAUAUCACCACAGCAAAGAUACUUUCUCUUCACCCAUCAUUUCCGCAUUGGCCUGGAGGGGAUUCCCUUUCCUACACUGAUUGUCAAAUAGUUGCCAGCAUCACUUUCUCCUUUUGGUACAGCUGGGGCUUUAUGUCUGUCAGCCCAAUCUACUUCUGACUGCUAUACUAGAGCAGUCUUACUUUGAAGAUGUGACCGUCUAAUACUUUAUCCCAAAAGAGGGGAAAAUGUAUCUUAACUCUCUGACUCCUUAGCAGCAUUCUAUAAAUGAAUCUGAAUUCUUAUUUGGCUCUUGGGUUUGGGUAUCACCAGAUACAGUUUGGGAGCAGGAGGCAGAAGCAGUUAUGCAUAUUAAAUGAAAACUACCCUCAUUUGCAUCACUUUGGAACAUGGGAAACUGUGAUGAGGCACUUGAUAGGUCCCCAUGGCUGCAGCCAAACAUCACCCCCCCAUGCAAGAAGUUCACCAACAGGGAAGAGCCUGGUAGUCUUUAGGAGGCUUGUCUGUCCUCUUGCAUAUAAAAGGACCUGCAGUUUUCUUGUGUUUAUGAGCCUAAUGUUGCAAAGUGCAUUAAGGUGCAUCCAUUUUUUCGCUUGUUGGGAGUAUUUUCUGGCAUUCCAGCCAAGUGGGGUGAGCCUGGGUUUGUCUCAACACUUGAUUCCCCUGGCUGAGGAUGUCAACACUUCCUUCUGCUCCAGCCUGGGCACUGUGAUAUGCACUGUGCUGGGUCCCCGUGGUCCAGGCACCACGAGGGUUGGCUGUUCAGCUGCUCUACAGCUGCAGCACUCCACCCUCCGUCUGAAGAAAUGCCAUUUGUACCAGCUGAGGGCCUUUAGGGCCCUCUUCUUGCACAACUCCUGCCCAUUUUUGUUUCCUGAAUCAUGUGUAAGUGAAUGAUUAGAUAAAAGUAGCAAGACAUUUGGAACAAAGUUGGAUCUAUACCCUACAGAAGGAAGAAAAAUGUCAUAAUGUUUGGUCUUGCAUUUGACUGAGUAAAUGGUCAAACUGCCAGAGUUACGGAUCAAGUUGAAAAAUGAAUCCUCUAAUUUCUUAAAACUGGAAGAUAACUUGAGACACAGCUUCAUCUUAAACCAACUAGUAAUUUUAUUAAGAGGGAGCUAGCAGACAGAGCCAGUUCAAGAGAAUGAGCUCCUCCACCCAUCAGUCCAUGACCACGCAGCAGUGCUGGGGCAAGUGGGAGCAGAGACCUGGGGGAAGCACAAGUGUCUCCGUGGCCGGGAGCAGGAGUGACAGCAGCACCACGGUCCUGAGCAGGGGAGGCAGAUGGUAUUUUUUGUGCAAAGUGGGGACGGGAGCAUUACACCUCGGAAUUCCUGCACUGUGUUUCAGGGCACUGCAGAGGUCAGUACCAUGUCCAGCGACAGGGAGCCAAACGAUCACAACAAGACCUAAUUGCACCUUCAAGCAGCUCUUGUCAAUGCAAUAAUGUUAUGUGAGGGUAACCAGACCAGAGGUGAGUUUUCUGCUUCUUGCCCUUUUUUCCUCUGUGUUAGCUGACAAAUUGUGAGGCAUUUCUAAUACUUUUAUAAUGACUUAUUAUCAUAGCUCCUUUCUGCAGGAUAUUCCCAGCCUCACAGUCCACUUAGCAUUUAUGGCAGCCACCACUGAAAUGAGUGCAAUACAUCUCCAGUCUCCUAGUCUGCUCCAGGAUGGACAGGAUGCAGAGGUCUUUGGCAGGCAAGGGGACAGUGUUUCUUCUGGAGACCCUUGUCUACUGCAGCAACUUAGCCUGUGCUGAAACUAAUCACACAGGACAUAUAAUUUAAAAGGAAUACUCCCAGGUGGAAAGGUAUUCACAUGCUUGAGAGUUAGGCUAGGUUAGGGGCUAAACAGACAUCCCUGAAAGGCCAUUUAAUGUGAAAUGUUAAUUGUGUUGCAGGAGGGUCAGAUUGGCAGAAUAAAAAAGACUAGCCAGCACUUCUGGAUCCCAGAGGAAGGUUGAUAACAGAUAUUUUACUCUGUUAUAAUCCAUGAAUUAUAAUCUAAUGAUGUCAAAUUACUCCUAAUAAUGCUAACCAGUGGCACAGAGCUCAGGGACGCUGCAUUGCGCCUGCCUGUACAGCAGAAGUGCGGCCCCGCGACUACUGCAGGACUUGUGCUGAACGGGGCAGUUAACACAACACACGCUGGCACAUGAGAAAAGUCUUCAGGAAGAUGGACCUCGAUGUUUCCCCGAUGGAUGAUCCAGCUCGGUGCCUGAGAGACUUUUGCAGUAGACUCCAAAUGUCUGGCAGGAGUUAUCCUCGCAUUACAAAACCACGGUCCUCUCUGUUCGUAGGCAUGACAGAAGCCAGAACACAUUUUGAAGAAAGUCAUGGUCAAAUUUGCUUUGGGAGCAACUUUUUUCUUUUAUUCUUUUUUUUUUUUUUUUUUUUUUUUUGGGAGCAACCAUUUGAAGCAACUCCUCUCAGGUUUUAAUACCAUUUCUCACAUUCUUUCCAAACUUGACUCUGUUGUGGCUCCUUUUCUGUGGUGGAGAGGAAGCCUUCACUUUUGGGAAAUGGCUAGAGCUGUGCCAAACGGCUCUUGUCAGAAGAGGUGUCCUAAACAGCAAUGUGACAGCAUCACUGUCUUCUCUCUUUUAUCCUCAUAUAUCUCCAGAAAGAGUAAAACAGCCUUGAUCCAAACCUCUCUUAGCAAAUAGUGUCAUCUUGUAUUUCGGUGUAACUGGCAGAUCUCUUGAUUCAAACAAAGCUUCGAAUUUGGUCUGUGGUUCCAUAGGUUCCUUCAUUGGCAUUUCCUAUCAAUUAGCAAAGUACUUGCCCUCCAGAAAAACUGACAGUGAUCUGCCUCUCCAAAUUAAGUGAAUUACUGCCAAACUGUCCAUCUUGCACCUCCUUUGCAUAAUGCACUCUGUUACAGCGCCUGUUUGAUACAGCAGCAUUGUCUAGGAAAUGACAUUUGGCUUUUGCCUUGACAGUUGUUUGACAGUAUCUCACCACCUUUCCUAUUAUUUCCCCAUCACAAGUUCUAUCUGUAAUGAGGCUGAGAAUAGGGACCACUUAGCACUUAUCAGAGAUUGUCACAUAUUUAUCCCCAGCUUCUUGGAAGGACCCAUUAGCACCCGGUUUACAUGGCUGUCACUGGUUAGUCUCUCUAGGAUUGCAGGACAUCAGUAAAGUCCUCUGGGGCAGCAGGAAGAUGAAUCUCUGCACAGCCCCGGCUUCUGCAGGUUGAAGAGCUGCUCUGCUAUUUUCAUUAGCUGUCUUAUCCAUACAGGCAUUAAUGGCUUGGGUUUUACUCCUUACUUGCCAUCUUCAGUCCUGUUUGUUAGUACACUUGUGUGAUAAAAGAGUGGACCUCCUCAGCUGACAAUUGUUUUUUAUGAGACAUGUAUUUGCAUGCCAAAUAUGUAGUAUUACUUGCAAAAAUUAAAAUAAUUUAAAUUUUA